CCAAUAGCGUAUAUUAAAGUUGUUGUGGUUAAAAAGCUCGUAGUUGAACCUUGGGCCUGGCUGGCCGGUCCGCCUCACCGCGUGUACUGGUCCGGCCGGGCCUUUCCCUCUGUGGAACCCCAUGCCCUUCACUGGGUGUGGCGGGGAAACAGGACUUUUACUUUGAAAAAAUUAGAGUGCUCCAGGCCGGCCUAUGCUCGAAUACAUUAGCAUGGAAUAAUAGAAUAGGACGUGUGGUUCUAUUUUGUUGGUUUCUAGGACCGCCGUAAUGAUUAAUAGGGACAGGCGGGGGCAUCAGUAUUCAAUUGUCAGAGGUGAAAUUCUUGGAUUUAUUGAAGACUAACUACUGCGAAAGCAUUUGCCAAGGAUGUUUUCAUUAAUCAGGAACGAAAGUUAGGGGAUCGAAGACGAUCAGAUACCGUCGUAGUCUUAACCAUAAACUAUGCCGACUAGGGAUCGGACGAUGUUAUUUUUUGACUCGUUCGGCACCUUACG
rnacentral:misc_RNA from 1 species